rnacentral:rRNA from 2 species
GAUCUUCUCCUUCAUGGGAGAUGAUUGAAAGAUGGUUUCGGCUAUCACUUACAGAUGGGCACCGCGGUGCAUUAGCUAGUUGGUGAGGUAACGGCUCACCAAGGCAACGAUGCAUAGCCGACCUGAGAGGGUGAUCGGCCACACUGGGACUGAGACACGGCCCAGACUCCUACGGGAGGCAGCAGUAGGGAAUCUUCCGCAAUGGACGAAAGUCUGACGGAGCAACGCCGCGUGAGUGAUGAAGGCUUUCGGGUCGUAAAACUCUGUUGUUAGGGAAGAAACCAAGUACAAGAGUAACUGCUUGUACCUUGACGGUACCUAACCAGAAAGCCACGGCUAACUACGUGCCAGCAGCCGCGGUAAUACGUAGGUGGCAAGCGUUAUCCGGAAUUAUUGGGCGUAAAGCGCGCGCCGAGGCGGUUUCUUAAGUCUGAUGUGAAAGCCCACGGCUCAACCGUGGAGGGUCAUUGGAAACUGGGGAACUUGAGUGCAGAAGAGAAAAGCGGAAUUCCACGUGUAGCGUGUGAAAUGCGCUAGAGAUGUGGAGGAACACCAGUGGCGAAGGCGGCUUUUUGGUCUGUAACUGACGCU